GGCGGCGUGCUUAACACAUGCAAGUCGCACGAGAACUCUUCUGCUUGCAGAAGAUAGUAAAGUGGCGCACGGGUGAGUAACGCGUGGGUAAUCUACCUCUGAAUUGGGGAUAACAUUGUGAAAGCGAUGCUAAUACCGAAUAAUAUCCCGAGAACUUAGGCUUUUGGGAUCAAAGGUGGCCUCUACAUGUAAGCUACUGUUUAGAGAUGAGCCCGCGUACCAUUAGCUAGUUGGUAGGGUAAUGGCCUACCAAGGCAACGAUGGUUAGCUGGUCUGAGAGGAUGAUCAGCCACACUGGAACUGACACACGGUCCAGACUCCUACGGGAGGCAGCAGUGAGGAAUUUUGCGCAAUGGGGGAAACCCUGACGCAGCAACGCCGCGUGAGUGAUGAAGGCUUUCGAGUCGUAAAGCUCUGUCAAGUGAGAAGAACCUACUUUUUGUUAAUACCGUUAAGUACUGACGGUAUCACUGAAGGAAGCACCGGCUAACUCCGUGCCAGCAGCCGCGGUAAUACGGAGGGUGCAAGCGUUAUUCGGAAUUAUUGGGCGUAAGCGGUCUUUUAAGUCAGAUGUGAAAGCCCGGGGCUCAACCCCGGAAGUGCAUUUGAAACUAAGGGACUUGAGUAUGGGAGAGGGAAGUGGAAUU
rnacentral:rRNA from 1 species